GAUGAACGCUGGCGGCGUGCCUAAUACAUGCAAGUCGAGCGAAUGGAUUAAGAGCUUGCUCUUAUGAAGUCAGCGGCGGACGGGUGAGUAACACGUGGGUAACCUGCCCAUAAGACUGGGAUAACUCCGGGAAACCGGGGCUAAUACCGGAUAAUAUUUUGAACUGCAUGGUUCAAAAUUGAAAGGCGGCUUCGGCUGUCACUUAUGGAUGGACCCGCGUCGCAUUAGGUAGUUGGUGAGGUAACGGCUCACCAAGGCAACGAUGCGUAGCCGACCUGAGAGGGUGAUCGGCCACACAGGGACUGAGACACGGCCCAGACUCCUACGGGAGGCAGCAGUAGGGAAUCUUCCGCAAUGGACGAAAGUCUGACGGAGCAACGCCGCGUGAGUGAUGAAGGCUUUCGGGUCGUAAAACUCUGUUGUAGGGAAGAACAAGUGCUAGUUGAAUAAGCUGGCACCUUGACGGUACCUAACCAGAAAGCCACGGCUAACUACGUGCCAGCCGCCGCCGUAA
rnacentral:rRNA from 1 species